CACGGGGGGAGCAAGCGUUGUUCGGAUUCACUGGGUUUAAAGGGUGCGUAGGUGGGCAGGUAAGUCAGUGGUGAAAUCUCCGGGCUUAACUCGGAAACUGCCAUUGAUACUAUCUGUCUUGAAUACCGUGGAGGUCAGCGGAAUAUGUCAUGUAGCGGUGAAAUGCUUAGAUAUGACAUAGAACACCAAUUGCGAAGGCAGCUGGCUACACGAAUAUUGACACUGAUGCACGAAAGCGUGGGGAUCAAACAGG
rnacentral:rRNA from 1 species